GGACUUAAUUUAUAAGUAAAGCUUCGGACAAUCCACUACACAAAUUGGCGUCACGAACAGGAUGGUUUAGAAGCUACAGGUCGACAGCCGCUCCCGCUCUCUCUGUCAGGCAGACAGUGUGUUGCACGCGCGCAUCACAAGAUUCGGUGACCACAGGUG